GCGCCCCGGCCCCCCGCCCUCCUGCCUCAGGACGGGACGGGGAGGGAGGGAGGAAGGGGCGCCGGCGGCGGGCGGGAUCUUGCGGGGCGCGUGAAGCCUCGCUGGCGCCUAGUCCGGGACUCAGACGCUGGCGAGCGCGGAGUUUCUCACGACGGGUCGAGCCCGCCACUCCACGAGCUGCUGGGCAAGUUGCGUUACCACCUCGUGCUUCGAUUUUCUUGUCUACAAAAGAGAUAUUUACCCUGUCAACUUUCAAAGAGGUGUCACAAGGUAAAGUAUGUGAAACAUAUAUAAACGAUCGAAUGCUGUGCAUUACGUAAGAUGGAAUAAUAACCAUUUACGUGAAAGUAGCUAUAAAAGCUUUUAUCUUCAAGCAGGUUUCUUCAAGUCUCAGUUUUUUCCUGAGCUUUCCAAUUCCUAAUACUAUAGUUGUGUGCUUUAGCCCUUCUGCCAUGUUCGUCCUAAUUUAACCCAUUAACUACUCUGCAGAGAGUUACUCUGUAGCUACACUGGAUACUUAACUCUUUCUCUGUGUUGGAAUUAUUUAUGGGUAUAUAGAUGGAACUUAAAAGGAGCCAUCAGUUACGAGCUGUUUCAUGCCUAAGCCAUGAGAGGUCAUACCUUUUUUAUUUCUUUUUACCUUUUUGAACUGUGCUUUCCUAAAAAUUAUGGUAAUUAUAUUUAUACCUACUGUUGUCUUUCUUUCUGUUAGAAAUGCUUUGUGGUCUAUGGCCCCAUCACCCCAGAUGUGCCUGAUUUUGUCUAAUCUUGGAAACUAAGCUGUGUUGGGCCUGGUUAGGACUUGGAUAGGAGAAAUCCCUUAUGUUGACAUCCCUUUCUCCUGUAUUCCUGUUACAAGUAUGUCAGCUUUCACACUUGUUGAUCAUUUAACUGUUCAGUAUAUCCCCUCCUGCUUCCUUAGCCUUCUGAAAGGAAUUUUUCUACAAAGCAAGUCAGGAGUCAUAUUUUGGCAAGAUUAGUAUUUUAAUAUGAAAAAAUAAUACUCAUAUUAGGAAAAUAUUGUACAUCUUUUGUGUGGCUGGGUGAUAGUAUUGUAUGCCUGUGAAAAUGUCAGUUUUACUCUUUCUUGUCCCUUCUGUUUUUGAUAUAAUUCAUCAAGUAAUUGUAAAAUAAGUGUUUGGUCUUCAUCAAUUAAAAAUAAAGUAGAUUUUUGAAAAAUGUUUAAUGUUUAAGUUUUAGGUAUCAAUGUAGAGUGCCAAGGAUACUUUUUUCAUCUUCUCCGUGAAAUUAUACCUAUAGU